rnacentral:rRNA from 1 species
AAGCGUUAUCCGGAAUUAUUGGGCGUAAAGAGCUCGUAGGCGGUUUGUCGCGUCUGCCGUGAAAGUCCGGGGCUCAACUCCGGAUCUGCGGUGGGUACGGGCAGACUAGAGUGAUGUAGGGGAGACUGGAAUUCCUGGUGUAGCGGUGAAAUGCGUAGAUAUCAGGAGGAACACCGAUGGCGAAGGCAGGUCUCUGGGCAUUAACUGACGCUGAGGAGCGAAAGCAUGGGGAGCGAACAGG